CAAUGGGUGACGUCGCGCCGGGCCCUACCACCGCACCGGGGCGGGGGUGACGCGCGAGCAGGCACGGGGGCAAAGGGCGGCGCGGGCGGUGACCGAAGCCGUCCCGCGCCUGUGUUCGUUGUCCCUCCAGGAGGGGGUCCGGGGCGUGGGGACUGAUUUCCGACCUCCCGGGCCCAACGAGCCGUGCUGAAACGUGGCGCCUCGGAGGAGGCUGAGAGAUGAAUUCAUUACAGAAGACCAGCUCCAUUUUCUGGGGGCACCUCUCUGGAGAGCUCUGAGAGAGAGAAGUGCUGUGCUGGACCAGUGGGAGGCAGAGAAAUGCCCUGGAUUAGGAAGCAAAAUACAAGAUGCUAGAAAGACUCAGAUGCAAUUAAAAGUAAUGAGACGGUAUCAAAAAGGGAAGCGAUGAGAACUUGUGAGCCCAGCACACUGGCUCCCUGCCUGGAAAGACACACUCUCGGACAGCAUUCACAAUCGCCCAGGGAAGAACAGAAUUCAAGGGUUUUCUGCAUUCACUUAGAUUGCGUUGAAAUUCUCUGCAAGGAGUUUGCUUUCCACACAGACCUUGUUUCAAGUUACCUGCCCUCAGAGACAUUAGCUACAGUACAGUGGGAUGAACACUAGGCUUGGGAAUACCACCUGGAUGGGGUCACUUUAUCCUUCCGUGCCUCUGAUUCCUCAUCUGUAAAAUGGGGGACGGUCCCUUCUUUAUGAAAUGGUUAUAUUACAUGAGAAUAAUAUGUAUGGGAAGACUCAUCAUGUGGACCCUGAGGGUGGUGUUGGCAUAGGUUCUAGGGAGCAGAAAUACUCUUAGGGAUGUUCGAGUUUUGUUUUUUGAGAUGGAGUUUUGCUCUUGUUGCCCAGGUUGGAGUGCAAUGGCGUGAUCUCAGCUCACUGCAAACUCUGCCUCCCAGGUUCAAGCGAUUCUCCUGCCUCAGCCUCUUGAGUAGCUGGGAUUACAGGCAAGCGCCACCAUGCCUGGCUAAUUUUGUAUUUUUAGUAGAGACGGGAUUUCUCCACAUUGCUCAGGCUGGUCUCGAACUCCCGACUGUCAGGCCUCUGAGCCCAGGCCAGGCCAUCGCAUCCCCUGUGACUUGCACGUAUACAUCCAGAUGGCCUAAAGUAACUGAAGAUCCAC
rnacentral:lncRNA from 10 species